rnacentral:tRNA from 1 species
GGUUCUAUGGUGUAACAGUUAGCACUCUGGACUUUAAAUCCAGCAAUGUGAGUUCGAAUCUCUGUAGAACCU